CGCUGGCGGCGUGCUUAACACAUGCAAGUCGAACGGAAAGGCCCUGCUUUUGUGGGGUGCUCGAGUGGCGAACGGGUGAGUAACACGUGAGUAACCUGCCCUUGACUUUGGGAUAACUUCAGGAAACUGGGGCUAAUACCGGAUAGGAGCUCCUGCUGCAUGGUGGGGGUUGGAAAGUUUCGGCGGUUGGGGAUGGACUCGCGGCUUAUCAGCUUGUUGGUGGGGUAGUGGCUUACCAAGGCUUUGACGGGUAGCCGGCCUGAGAGGGUGACCGGCCACAUUGGGACUGAGAUACGGCCCAGACUCCUACGGGAGGCAGCAGUGGGGAAUAUUGCACAAUGGGCGGAAGCCUGAUGCAGCAACGCCGCGUGCGGGAUGACGGCCUUCGGGUUGUAAACCGCUUUCGCCUGUGACGAAGCGUGAGUGACGGUAAUGGGUAAAGAAGCACCGGCUAACUACGUGCCAGCAGCCGCGGUGAUACGUAGGGUGCGAGCGUUGUCCGGAUUUAUUGGGCGUAAAGGGCUCGUAGGUGGUUGAUCGCGUCGGAAGUGUAAUCUUGGGGCUUAACCCUGAGCGUGCUUUCGAUACGGGUUGACUUGAGGAAGGUAGGGGAGAAUGGAAUUCCUGGUGGAGCGGUGGAAUGCGCAGAUAUCAGGAGGAACACCAGUGGCGAAGGCGGUUCUCUGGGCCUUUCCUGACGCUGAGGAGCGAAAGCGUGGGGAGCGAACAGGCUUAGAUACCCUGGUAGUCCACGCUGUAAACGGUGGGUACUAGGUGUGGGGUCCAUUCCACGGGUUCCGUGCCGUAGCUAACGCUUUAAGUACCCCGCCUGGGGAGUACGGCCGCAAGGCUAAAACUCAAAGGAAUUGACGGGGCCCCGCACAAGCGGCGGAGCAUGCGGAUUAAUUCGAUGCAACGCGUAGAACCUUACCUGGGUUUGACAUGGAUCGGGAGUGCUCAGAGAUGGGUGUGCCUCUUUUGGGGUCGGUUCACAGGUGGUGCAUGCCUGUCGUCAGCUCGUGUCGUGAGAUGUUGGGUUAAGUCCCACAACGAGCGCAACCCUUGUUCACUGUUGCCAGCACGUUAUGGUGGGGACUCAGUGGAGACCGCCGGGGUCAACUCGGAGGAAGGUGGGGAUGACGUCAAGUCCUCAUGCCCCUUAUGUCCAGGGCUUCACGCAUGCUACAAUGGCUGGUACAGAGAGUGGCGAGCCUGUGAGGGUGAGCGAAUCUCGGAAAGCCGGUCUCAGUUCGGAUUGGGGUCUGCAACUCGACCUCAUGAAGUCGGAGUCGCUAGUAAUCGCAGAUCAGCAACGCUGCGGUGAAUACGUUCCCGGGGCUUGUACACACCGCCCGUCAAGUCAUGAAAGUUGGUAACACCCGAAGCCGGUGGCCUAACCGUUGUGGGGGAGCCGUCGAAGGUGGGACUGGUGAUUAGG
rnacentral:rRNA from 1 species